UACGUAGGGCGCGAGCGUUGUCCGGAAUUAUUGGGCGUAAAGAGCUCGUAGGCGGCUCGUCACGUCGGGUGUGAAAGCCCGGGGCUUAACCCCGGGUCUGCAUUCGAUACGGGCUAGCUAGAGUGUGGUAGGGGAGAUCGGAAUUCCUGGUGUAGCGGUGAAAUGCGCAGAUAUCAGGAGGAACACCGGUGGCGAAGGCGGAUCUCUGGGCCAUUACUGACGCUGAGGAGCGAAAGCGUGGGGAGCGAACAGG
rnacentral:rRNA from 1 species